rnacentral:tRNA from 1 species
GCCGGGAUAGCUCAGCUGGGAGAGCAACAGACUGAAGCCAAUCGGCCUUCUGGAGGUCCCGUGUUCAAUCCACGGUCCUGGCA